GAAAUGCGAUACUUGGUGUGAAUUGCAGAAUCCCGUGAACCAUCGAGUCUUUGAACGCAAGUUGCGCCCGCUAGUAUUCUGGCGGGCAUGCCUGUUCGAGCGUCAUUUCAACCAUCAAGCUCCCGGGCUUGCGUUGGGGCCCUGCGGCUGCCGCAGACCCCUAAAACCAGUGGCGGGCGCUUGCCGUAAAACAAACCACAUAUCAAGGUUGACCUCGGAUCAGGUAGGAAUACCCGCUGAACUUAA
rnacentral:misc_RNA from 1 species